rnacentral:lncRNA from 1 species
UGGUAACUCUCGUAGCCUUCUAAGGUCCCAUUUUUGUGAAAGAACCCGAGAGAGGGAGAGGCCGUGUCUUCUUCUUCUUCGUCCAUUCUACUUCUUGAUCUUGUCUACCUCUUGCUUGUGUCUUUGUGACCCUUACCUGUGUGGUAUUCAUUCUUUGUGAGUGAGCAAACAACAAGCAGAAGGAAGAAAAGCAACCAUAGGUAGAACUCGUAAGGUCGGCGGCGAGUACCUUCGAUUUUGGUGUUGAUUCGGUGUUUUAAAGGUUAACUGAGCCCGGAAAUUAUCUUGAGCAGCUUGAGGAAGAUCCUAACAUCUGGUAUCAGAGCUUGGUUGGCAAAAAUCGGCUCAAAAUUGGUUGAUUUUCGCGAUUUCAUCCUUUUACCCGAAUCUGAAAUUCUUCAAUUACUCACAAACCAAAACUCGGUUGGACAAACGGAGGCCAUACCCAUUACCAGCAGGUCGAGGCGCCCCUGGUGAGGUGGCGCGUGGGCAGCGACGGCGUGUGGGCGGCAUUCUAGCGAAGCUAUCUUCAGGUAACUUGCUUGUUUCGAUCUCCUGAACGCGCUGAUAUACUUUGUUUUGUAUUUCAGGUUACACAGAAAAAGUUGGACGAUUUUACCCCUGGUGCGAUACUGACUGCAAUUGAACAGCAAGCUCGUUUUUCUCUACUCUACGGACUCAGAUAGGUCCGCUCUGGUAAAUUGGCUUAAUCCAUUUAAAUUCAGCAAUAGUAAGAUCAUCGUGUGGGGUGAUCGUCAGGUUUUGGGGUUACCGUGAAGGGGUAACCAUUGCUUGUGCUAGAACUAGGAUUACUUGCGUUAAUUGAGUGCUUGUUCUUUUGAUUUAAGUGCUUGGUAUUUCUUGGUGGACGUAGCGUUUAGAUUCAUUGUUACUUUUGCUAAGAAUUAACAAGAUAUUACCUUAUCACGCUUCCCAAUACUACUUCGUUUGGUCUAAUUAGUGUGUUAACCAAUGACAACACAUAAUUUUGAUUUGGGAAUAUUUAACGGUAAAGGAGACUUCUCUAUCUGGCAACAAAAGAUGAGAGGCAUAUUAGUCCAACAAAAGGUGUCAAAAGCCAUCGAAGGCAAUUUUGCACCUGAUAUCUCAAAAGAACAAAAAGAGGAAGCCGAUGAGCUUGCCUAUACCUCAAUAAUAUUACACUUGUCUGACGCUGUCUUAAGAAAAGUGGGAAAACUAAAAACCACCAAAGAACUUUGGAAAAGACUAGAAGACUUAUACUUGCUUAAAUCUACACCGAAUAAACUCUACCUACUCGAACGAUUCUUCAGCUUUAAGAUGGAUCCUUUAAAGGAUCUCGACGACAAUUUAGAUGUAUUUAACAAAUUGGUGCAAGAUAUUGUCAAUUGUGACGAAGCCGUGUCUGAGACCUAUAAGGCUAUAAUCUUGCUCAAUUCAAUCCCGGACUCUUAUAAAGAAGUUAAGAAUGCCAUUAAGUAUGGUAGGGACACAUUAACACCUGAAAUUGUCGUAGAUUCUCUUAGGAGUAAAGAGAUGGAAAUGAGGGCUGAAAAAACAGGAUAGGAGGAGUGGAGAGUUGCAUAUGAUGCGGGGUAGAACUCAAUUUAGGCAAGCCAGUCAUGAUGGAUACCAAAGUAGUGGCGAAUUAAGUAGUAAUAGUUGGAAAAAGAAGGGCAAUGGUAGACCUAGGUCAAAGUCUAGAACUAAGGCUAGAAAAUGCUAUGGCUGUGGAGGCACAGGGCAUUUUAUAAAAGACUGCCAUAAAGAAAGGGGAAAACAAAAGAUUAAGGAAAGAGAUGAGGUAAAUAUGUUAUCCUCUACCUCCGAUACCGAAAACGGUGAAUUCUAUUUGAUCACUAGUCCAGUCGCAUACACUACUGAAUUGAAUCUAACUACUAAUUCUCACAUGCAUGAAUGGAUAUUAGAUUCUGGUACGUCUUUUCAUGUGACGUCUGAAAAGAACUGGUUUGAAAACUUGCAAGAAUCUAAUGAUGUGCAAGUAGUUCUGUGUGAUAACUUUGCCUAUACAAUUGCUGGAAUUGGAGAUAUAAAGAUAAAAUUUAACACGAGCUUUGUGUACAUGUUAAAGGAAGUUAGAUACAUUCCUGAAUUAUCUAGGAAUUUGAUUUCAGUAGGAAGACUUGAGAAAGACAACUUCACCGUUAAAAUUGGAAACGGUAUGUUUAAAAUGAUGAAGGGUGCGUUAAUCUCUAUUAAGGGAAUCAAGAAAAAUGAUAUUUACAUCACUACUGGGGAAGUAAUUAGAGGAUUAAACUCCUCUAUUUCUUCCGCCAAAAUCGAUCACACACAUACGUGGCAUAGUAGGCUUGCACACGUAGGCAUUAAGGGACUUAAGCUACUUAAUGAAAAAGGUGUAAGUAUUAUGCCCUAGGUCCAAUUAACUUUGGGCAUAAAUGCUUUAUAUAUAUAUAUAUAUAUAUAUAUAUAAUUAAUGCAAUUUAUGGCAGAUCUAUUAUUUAAUUAAUAGACAAUUAAAUAAAUAAUAGAGUCUGAAGAUUCAAACUUCCGUAAUUUGUUAAUCACAAGGAGUUGUGAUUGUGAGAUACAAAUUACAUCUGAUUGAAUCUUAAAUCAUCCAUGGUCGUAAGUAAUAACAAGAUACGGAUAUCGUUAUUACGGAUAGACCAUCACGUGUGGCAUUUCUUACUUGUGAAGUAAGUAGCUGAUCUCACAAGUUAAAGUGUGGUGACACUUAAAUGAACACGUGGAUGUUUUGUUAUAGAAUAAAACAUUGGAGAUCCGUCGAGAGAUUCCACACGGAUAACUAUCUGAGUGUCAGUGGUUAAUCUCUAGCGUUCAGUAGUGGAAUUGGUCCUUUGACUUGAGGUCGUCAUGGUACCUUAUAUGAGGAGAGUCAUACUUUGGCGGUGUUGGAUGUUGCUCUAAAAAGGGCCGCUAAUAUGACAUCGUUCGGGUACGUCAAGAGUCGUAUGAAGGUUGUGAUUGAUCAAUAAAGGAUUCGUCACUCUUAGAUAGUAGGAGAUUAUGAUCUGCGUUUCAUUCAAUUAAGUCGAUGAUGAAAUUCUUGGCCAAAGUGUACUCAUAAGUAGAAAAGGAGUUUUCGACUUAUAUUGACUUAAUAGUAGAGUGAAAGAUAUGAUCGAUGAUCGAGAUUGACACAAUUUCAUAUCUCGUAAUUGAUCGGAUCAUAUUGACGAAGGGAUUAUAGUUUCACGGUAAACGAACGAAUUUGGUUUUGUCAUAUCACGUGACAUUUUUCGUCACAUGUAUUGCCCUGACACAUUGUUAAAUGUCAAUCAGGGACGGCGAGUGUAAAUUGACGGUAAAUUAAAAGGGUAUUUUAAUUUAUCAAUUUUGAUUAGAUCAAAAUAAUAUUUCACGUAUCGUGGUCGGAAACCUAAUGGGUCGUACACAAAAGAGAAUUGGAAGAUUGCAAAUUGUCAAUUGGUUAAUUUAACAAUCGUUGGAUAAAUUAAUUAAUUGGAUUUGUUAUUUAUAUUCCCGAAUUAAUUAAUUGGAUUAAUUAAUUCACGGGCCGAGUUUAAUUAAUUGGAUUAAUUAAAUAUUGGACCGGACCGGGCCGAGCCCGUUUGGGUUUAUAUAAAUACAUGGCUAGGGUUUAAGGUCCAUAUGGUUUUCAUUAUUUUUGCUGGCACAAGAGAGAAAACCCUAGUAGCUGCAAUCUUGUUCUCUGUGUGGAUUACCGUUGGAGGCUGGACAAUUAGACAGCUGUGGAUGGCGAAUCAGGAUUGCUGGAAUGAAAAGAAUAGCAAAGAAGUUUGCAGAUCUGAAAAGGUACAAUCUUAUCACAAUUUCUAUCUAAACACAAAGGCGAUUCUUGGUGAGAAUCGAAGAUUAUUUUAAAUUCCGCUUUGUAUAUAUAAGUAGAUUCCCAACAGUGGUAUCAGAACAUACUUUGUGUUUGUUAGAAGUUGCUUUACAUAUUGGAACAAUUAAAUGUUAAUUGUUUUUCUUGUUUUAGCGAUUAAGGAAAUAAAUAAUUUUUCACGUUCAAAAUCAGGUUUUGAAUGAAAAUUAUUUUGGGAUUGGAAUAAUUUGUGAAUUCAGAUUUCAAAAAAAAAAAGAAAGAAAGGGGGACGGUUGAGGCGGCGGCAACCGUUGCCACCGCUGGCGAGGAGCGGCAGCGGCGCUCACUGCCACAGUCUAGGGCAGCGGCGAGCGCCGCUGCUGGAUUGCAGCGAGCAGCAGCGAGGUGCUGCUACUCGCCGCUACUGGAGGAAGCAGUAGUGCCCCUCGUGCUGCUGCUCGCCCCUGCUGGAGGAAGCAGCAGCGCGCGGCGUUGCUGCAAUUUACUGUAGCAGCGUCGUGACCUGCUACAGAUUUAGGAAGUCGCCAGGCGCGACUUCCUGUCGUGAAAGGGAAGGGGCGGCGCCCCAUGAAUUGAAGAGAAACAAAAAAAAAUUAGGUUUUCAGUCGGUUUUGGGAAUUGGAGGCGGGGGCUUCUGAUGCAAUUUGUGAAAUUUCAAGCCCCCGUUUGCAAUAUCCAUUUGGGGUCAAUUUGUAAGUUAUUUAAGUAAGGGACCGUUUUGAAUUAUUUGAUAUUGAAGACCCUUACUUGUAAUUUCACUUCGGUGGUAAAGUAGUAAUUUUCAAAUAAGGACCUAUUUCUGUAAUCUGUGAAAUUGCGAGGGUCGGUUUUGAAAUUUUCGAAAUUUUGAGACUUUGAUUAUAAAUUUUAACUUGGGUCAAAUUUCAAUUUCCAAAUGCUUUUGAAUUGGUUUUUAAAUUGUUUUUCAAAUGGGUUUUGACCUAUUUUGACUAAAUUUUUAAUUUUGACUCAAAUUAAAAUUCUUAUUUAUUAAUUGAUGACAUUUUAUAUUUUCGUUAAAAUUGGAUUUUAACUUAAAUAUUAUACUUUAACCCCAAUUAAAUUUUAUUUUAUUUAGGAAUGUUAUCCUAAAUUAAAAUAUUAAUUCAUUUUAAUUUAAAGUUGGACUCUAAUUUAGCAUUUAAUUAAAAUUAGAUUUUAAUUAAUUAUUCACCCCGAAUAUAUUCUAGAAAUUAGAAUUCGAUUCUAAUUUGACAUUUAAUUAAAAUUUGAUUUUAAUUAAAUUAUCCCGCCCUAAAUUUCUUCUUGAAAUUAGAGUUGGACUCUAAUUUGGUAUUUAAUUAAAAUUUUGAUUUUAAUUAAAUUAAUUCGCCCUAAAUAUUGGAAUUAGAGUUAGACUCUAGUUUUGUCAUUUAAUUAAAAUUUGAUUUUAAUUAAAUUCAACCGCCUUACAUUUUGAAAUUAGAGUUUGAUUCUAAUUUGAUAUUUAAUUAAGAUUUGAUUUUAAUUAAAUAAUCCCGCCAUAUAAUUUUUGAAUUAGAGUUGGACUCUAAUUUGUUAUUUAAUUAAAAUUUGAUUUUAAUUAAAUAUUCCCGCUAAUUAAAUAAUCGAUUAAUAUGAUUAAUUAAUUAUUUAAUUAUUCCGAUCCAUUUGUCUAAAAGAGUUUAGACGACUUAAUUGCUAGAAACUUAAAACUUAUUUGCAUAUAAUAUUAAAUAUUAUAUAGGUAUACAUUUAUGUGAUGAAUGUAUUAUUAGUGGACGAUUGUGGAAUCGACCAUAUGGAUUUGUUGAAUGGUUAAUUUUAAUUCUUGUCGUUUUGUGGGCCUGUGAGCUCUUAAUUGUUUUGGGCCUACGAGCUCUUAAUUGUUUUGGGCCUGCAAGCCCGUUAUUAUUGUUAUUAUUUUGGACCUACGAGUCCAUUAUCAUUAUUGUUAUUAUGGGCCUGUGAAUCCAAUUUCAUUUAAGCCUGCGUGCCAACUAGUAUAGGAUACAUGUUGGAAUUGGACUAAUUGAAGAGACAAGAAGAGGUGGAGACCAUGGAGAUGGUGCAUUGACACUGUUCAAUGCCAUACUCCCUAGGAAUUGACCAACUAGUCUUCAUUAUGGCUCGGGAAGACUAGAUAGUGAAAGUCCAUUAUCGUCCAUACUAUUAUAUUAUGUUAUAUAUAUAUUUAUUUGUAUAGUAGAUGUAUAAUAAUAAUAUAUAUAUGAUUGUAUUGUUGUUGAUGAGACUCAUGAAUGCAAAAUCCCUCCAUAAAAUAUUAAGUCACAUUUGUACUCGCCUUCCAUCAUUAUAGUGAAAAAUCAGAGUCCCAAAUCGUCUCAACUUGUUGAGUACACUCAAGGCUGGUCCAUUAGGGAUAUGUUUGACACUAUGAAAUAUUUGAUAUUUCUGAAUGAUGGGUUUGACUUAACUAAAAUUUAUCUUUUGUUGAGUACACUCAAAGAGAUAAACUUUAGAGGCAUGUUAAGUUAACACAUAAGAUGUGUGAAAACAAAGAGUUGUCAGCUUAAUGAUCUGGGAGUUGUAUGGAGAUACAAUUGAUAAUAGUAUCUACCCAAAUAUUAUAUUAGGGCUUGUUGAGUACACUCAAGGUCUUGAUAUAAUAGAUGGGAUCCCAACCCACUGGGAGUCAAGCAUGGACUCCAUAAAUUUAUGUGAGAGGGUGAUAAAUUUUAUUUAAAUAGUGGGAGCAUAAUUAAUUUAAUAAAAGACCAUGUUAAAUUAAUUGAUGCAUUUUAUAUAUUAUUCUUUCCUUUUUCGUCAUUUAUAUUUAUUGAAUCUGAGUAACCAUAUGUUUUGAAUGACAUACUAGAUGUCAACAACCAAACUAUAUUUUCUUAAUUGACACUGUAAUUUGAGAAUUGUUCUUAUGCAUGAGAAAAUUGGUCACGUCCUUGAGUAGCCAUUUCCAGAAAUACCUACAGAUGACUCAAUUAAAGAAGAGGUGGCUACUGUAGUAAACGCAGUUUAGUACUGCAACGUAUGUGAUACUUGCAACUAAGUCACUGAGUUACAAAAGCGACUUGAGAGUAUAGAUGUUAACACAUAAUUCUUCAUUACAAAGAGUUGUAUGGUAAUAAUCAUGUGUGGAAGGAUAUGAGACUUCCAAACAACUAUAUCGGUGCAAAAUGACAAAGUAAUCUUCAAUCGAUGCUUAGACACUGAAGAUGAUUGACGUUGAGAAAUGUCUCAACUGUGUUCAAUCAUAAACCAUGAACUAAGUAAUGACUUGGUUUUGUAAUCUCUGUCAGCUAAAGCUAUUCACAACUAAUUAUGAAUUUAACGUGAAUAAGCUCGAAUGCAAAAAUAUUGAGUUGCUUAACAUGCUUAGGACUGUUGACCCCUUUAUCAAAGUUGGUAGUGGGCAAGCCAUUGAUUCCUCUAAAGAUAUUAAGAGGAAGUCUAAAGGGGCUUUGUGAAAGCAUCCAAUAUGGUUAAGACAGUAUAAGCGAAGGACAAAUACCAAAUCUAAUGACCCUUGGUUUCAUUAUAGAAUGAAAGGUCAUUGGAAGGAAUAUUGCGUGACUUACGUCUAUUUCAUGAGUUUCUUAGGUAUUUGAUACCAGAUGUAAAUCUCAUAUUUAUACAAAUAUGGAGAAACUUAAAAGAAGUAGACCACUGCGAAAGGGAGAAGUUGACAUACACAUUGGAGAUGAGCAAAUGUUGCUGCAUUGCCUGUAUGAAUAUACUUCUUGCCAUUGCCCUUUUGUUUUAGUAUUGGAAUUAGAGAAAUGUCAUUUUAUACCAACCAUAGCUGGAACAUUAAAAUGAAUUUCAUGUUCGGACAUGAACUAUUUUAAUGUUAAGGACAAUAGUUGUUCUUGUUUAUCUUAAUAAGAUACUAAUGGCUAUGGUAAAUUACAAAACGACGUUUAUAUUCUUUAAUACUAAGGAUUCUAUAAUGAGUAUAGAAAUUAUAAGGCAUAAAUAUUAUAAUCUAAUUAUUACAAAAAUCUGGCAUGAUAGACUUUGUCAUUUAGAUUAAAUGUAAUUCCAAAGUUACAUAAAGGUGUAUACUUGGAAUUAAUUGAUUUUGACAAGUACAAAUUAUGCAUGUCUGGCACAAUGACCAAAUCUUCUUUUACUUGAAAAGAUGAAAGGUCAGCAUAAUUACUGGUCUAAUGCAUAGUGAUGCAUAUGGAUUCAUGGCAAUCAAUGUCAGGUAAUGUUUCUCUUAUUUCAUCAAUGAUCAAGUAUGCUUGAUGAAAAAUCAAACAUGAAACUCUUGAAAAGUUCAAGGGAUUCAAACUAGAAUUAGAGAAACAAAUAGGUAAAGAUACCUUCACAUUAAAAUUCGAUCAAGUGAGAGUAUCUUAAAGAUAACAUCUAGAUUAUUUAAGAGAGAAUGAGAUUCUCUUGCAGUGGACUCCUUCAUAUAUACUGCAAUAAGGUAGUGUAUCUAAAAGGAGGAAUCGUUAAUUAUUAGAUAUAAUGCGAUUAAUAACAAGUCAUGCAAAUCUCCCAAAAUUGUUUUGGAGUCAUGCAUUAAUUGCAGUGUGCAACACGCUAAAUCAUGUCCCAUCUAAAUUGGUUAACAGAACUUCAUACGAGUUAUGGAGAGACACUAGUCCCAAUUUAUCGUAUAUGAAAGUUUGGGGCCAUGACGCUUAUUUGAAGUGCCUUAAAUUGGAUAAGUUUGAGACUAAAUCCGAUAAAUACAUAUUUGUGCGAUAUUCAAAGGAGAGAUUUGAAUAUAAAUUCUAUUAUCAUGAAGAAAGUUUUCAUCUCACGACACAUCGUCUUUUUAGAGAAAAUGUUUACUCUAAGAGAGGACAGUGGGAGUAAAAUAGAAUUUUGAAAGAGUUCAAGAGUCCACAGAUAUAGUUAACCAAGUAGAUAAAUCCGAGUUUGAUCUCAUAUCUGAUAUGGGACAUACUUUGGAUCAGGAAGUAAAGACUCCUGAGGACAUGACAGCUCUAUGUAAAUCUAGUAAGAUCAUUCGACCUUCAAGAAUGUGCAAAUCCAUGAUCAUUAAUCAGGUAUUAGUGAUCCAGGACAAUAAACCUGCUAGUUGCAACAAAAUAAAGUCAAGUGUUGACUUAAAAGAGACAGCAAGAGGCCAUGAAACUCGAGAUGAAACUCGACGCAAGUGAACAAGGUUUGGACCUUGGUCAAGCCUCCUAAUGGAAUAAAGCUCAUAAGCUUUUGUUAAAUAGUUUACAAAAGAAAAGGUCGAUAUGGAUGUGAAUAUCUAUAUAUACAAAGCAAGGCUAAAAGCAAAGGUUAAAUGUUGACCUUGGUGAAACAUUUCUCCUAUAGCCUUGCUUAAGUCCAUUCGGGUUUUGUUUGCAACAGUUGCAUACCGUGACUAUAAGUUAAGAGAAGUCUCUUGGAGUUGAAAUCUUAGAUUUGAUGAAAAGUCAAAGUGUUUGAUUUUAUCAAAUUUGAAAAUGAAUUGUAUGUUUACAAGAAGAUAGUGGGAGCAUUUUCGUAUUCCUAAAACGACAUUCCUAUGUUUCAAUCGUUGAAAUAAUGGUUGUUAAAGGAUUUAUUCUCGAACGAUAUUGGAAAAGCAACUUGAUCUAUAGAGAUAAAUCUAGAGGGUUGCUUGACUCGUUUCAAUCUAUAUAAAAUGUUGAGAAGAUGUUACAUGGAGAAAUUGGUUUACUCUUAAACGGUGUGUUGGAAAGGUUCCGAACAUGAAGCAACCGUUGAUUUAGUAGUAGAAACCUAACACAUGAUUACUUUAGAAGUAGCAAGAAAUUGCAAUCUGGAUCAUGAUGUUCAUAAAUGAACUUGGAGUAGUUGAUAUUGUUGAUCACAUGUCAUUGUAUUGUGAUAAUAAUAGAAUCAUUGCGAAAGCAAAGGAACUAAGGUCUCAUCAAUGAUCCAAACAUGUAUUAAGGCGGUAUAAUCUCAUCAGAGAGAUAAUACAUAGAAAUGACGUAAAGUAAAGAAAAGAACAAAUUUCCACAUUUAACAAUAUUGCAGAUCCACGGACAAAGAGUUGUCAUAACAUAAACAUAAUCGUCAUGUAGACUUAUGAUAUUGAAUACAUAAGUGAUUGGAUCUAGUGCAAGUGGGAGUUUGUAAGUAUUAUGCCCUAGGUCCAAUCAACUUUGGGCAUAAAUGCUUUUGAUAUAUAUAUAUAAUUAAUUCAAUUUAUGGCAUAUCUAUUAUUUAAUUAAUAGACAAUUAAAUAAAUAAUAGAGUCCGAAGAUUCAAACCUCCGUAAUUUGUUAAUCACAAGGAGUUGUGAUUGUGAGAUACAAAUUGCAUCUGAUUGAAUCUUAAAUCAUCCAUGGUCGUAAGUAAUAACGAGAUACGGAUAUCAUUAUUACGGAUAGACCAUCACGUGUGGCAUUUCUUACUUGUGAAGUAAGUAGCUGAUCUCACAAGUUAAAAUGUGGUGACACUUAAAUGAACACGUGGAUGUUUUGUUAUAAAACAAAAUAUUGGAGACCCAUCGAGAGAUUCCACACGGAUAACUAUCUGAGUGUCAGUGGUUAAUCUCUAGCGUUCGGUAGUGGAAUUGGUCCUUUGACUUGAGGUCGUCGUGGUACCUUAUAUGAGGAGAGUCAUACUUUGGCGAUGUUGGAUGUUGCUCUAAAAAGGGCCGCUAAUAAGACAUCGUUCGGGUACGUCAAGAGUCGUAUGAAGGUUGUGAUUGAUCAAUAAAGGAUUCGUCACUCUUAGAUAGUAGGAGAUUAUGAUCUGCGUUUCAUUCAAUUAAGUCGAUGAUGAAAUCCUUGGCCAAGGUGUACUCAUAAGUCGAAAAUGAGUUUUCGACUUAUAUUGACUUAAUAGUGGAGUGAAAGAUAUGAUCGAUGAUCGAGAUUGACACAAUUCCAUAUCUCGUAAUUGAUCGGAUCAUAUUGACGAAAUGAUUAUAGUUUCACGGUAAACGAACGAAUUUGGUUUUGUCAUACCACGUGACAUUUCCCGUCACAUUUAUUGCCCUGACACAUUGCUAGAUGUCAAUCAGGGACAGCGAGUGUAAAUUGACGAUAAAUUAAAAGGGUAUUUUAAUUUAUCAAUUUUGAUUAGAUCAAAAUAAUAUUUCACGUCGUUAGGUAUCGUGGUCGGGAACCUAAUGGGUCGCACACAAAAGAGAAUUGGAAGAUUGCAAAUUGCCAAUUGGUUAAUUUAACAAUCGUUGGAUAAAUUAAUUAAUUGAAUUUGUUAUUUAUAUUCCCGAAUUAAUUAAUUGAAUUAAUUAAUUCACGGGCCGAGUUUAAUUAAUUGGAUUAAUUAAAUAUUGGACCGGACCGGGCCAAGCCCGUUUGGGUUUAUAUAAAUACAUGGCUAGGGUUUGAGGUCCAUAUGAUUUUCAUUAUUCUUACUGGCACAAGAGAGAAAACCCUAGUAGCUGCAAUCUUGUUCUCUGUGUGGAUUACCGUUGGAGGCUGAACAAUUGUACAGUUGUGGAUGGUGAAUCAGGAUUGCUGGAACGAAAAGAAUAGCAAAGAAGUUUGCAGAUCUGAAAAGGUACAAUCUUAUCACAAUUUCUAUCUAAACACAAAGGUGAUUCUUGGUGGGAAUCGAAAAUUAUUUUAAAUUCCGCUAUGCAUGUAUAAGUAGAUUCCCAACAAAAGGUGCAUUUGGUAAUGACUGUGUGUCUGACCUAUCGUUCUGUGAUCACUGUGUGCUCGGAAAGUACCAUAGAGUGUCGUUCUCCACUAGUACGCAUAAGGCUAAAAGCAUGCUUGAAUAUGUGCAUUCUGAUCUGUGGGGUCCUGUUAGUAAUCUCACAUCGGGUGGGAAUAGGUAUUUCCUAUCUAUCAUAGAUGACUACACCAGGAAAGUGUGGGUCUAUCUAUUGAAAGACAAAACUGAAACCUUCCAUAACUUUAACAAUUGGAAGAAACAAAUGGAAAACCAAACUAGCAAGAGGAUCAAAUUUUUAAGGACAGAUAACGGCCUAGAAUUCUGUAAUACUGAAUUCGAUAGGAUGUGUAAAGAAAGUGGAAUAACAAGGCACAAAACGGUUCCCUAUACUCCCCAGCAAAACGGGGUAGCAGAAAGAAUGAAUAGGACCAUACUAGAUAAAGUGCGCUGUAUGAUGUUAAGUUCUGGGGUUCCUAAGUCAUUUUGGGGUGAAGCCGUUGUAACUGCCUGUUAUCUGAUAAAUUUGACUCCAUCGGCUGCAUUAAAUGGUGAUACUCCACAUGGGAAAUGGUCUGGAAAAUUGGGUGACUACUCAAUGCUUAAAGCGUUUGGCUGUGCUGCCUUUUCUCAUCAAAGUGAGGGAAAGUUAGAACCUAGAGCCAAGAAGUGUGUCUUUCUAGGAUAUCCCGAAAGGGUUAAGGGCUAUAGGCUAUAGAAUAGGAGCCAAAAAGGAGUUAAGAUCAUCGUGAGUAGGGAUGUCACAUUUAAUGAGAAAGAGAUGCCUUGUCUAAAGAACGAAACCGAACCAAUAAGUGAAACUGAAUCAAGUGAAGAAAGAAGUCGGUUUAAGGUGGAGUUAGGAAAAUUUAACACAUCAGUACCUAGUACUUCGAGUGAGGUGGAGAUUCAGGUCCAAGAACCUGAAGAGGAAAAUGAAGUAGUGAUAGAAGAGCAUCCUGAGGAAGAAAAUCCAUUAGCUAACUAUAAUUUAGUUAGAGAUAGAGAGAGAAGACAAACGAGAGAACCUAGGAGGUUCGGAUAUGAAUCUGAAUUGGAUUUUGCAUACGCUAGUUACGAAGAACUAGUUGAUAGGGAGCCGAAAACUUUUGAAGAGGCUAUGAAUAGUGGUCAAUCUAAGGAGUGGCUUAAGGCUAUGAAAGAAGAGAUGAGUUCUCUAGAAAAGAAUCAAACUUGGGAGUUAGUACCGAGACAUAAGAAUAAAUCAAUCGUUGAUUGCAAGUGGGUCUUUAAGGUUAAGGAAGGUACUAGUAGUUCAGAACCCUUAAGAUUUAAGGCUAGGUUAGUAGCGAAGGAUUACACACAGAAAAAAGGUGUUGAUUAUAACGAGAUUUUCUCACCAGUUGUAAAGUAUACUACUAUUAGGGUCAUGCUCACAUUGGUUGCGCUCUUUGACUAGGAACUUGAACAACUCGAUGUAAAAAUCGUUUUUUUAUACGGAGAGCUUGAUGAACAAAUCUUUAUGAAUCAACCAAAAGGUUUUAAAGACAAGUUAAAACCUGAUUAUGUGUGUUUUCUGAAGAGAUCCCUAUACGGUCUAAAGCAAUCACCUAGACAGUGGUACAAGAGGUUUGAUUUCUUUGUACUCAUUAUAGGAUUUCAAAGAAAUAAAUUCGAUCACUACCUAUACUUUCAACACAACGAGACUGAUAACAAUUAUUUUAGUUGGAUCAUCUCCUAAGUGGAUAAACAAUAUAAAAGCAGACCUUAGUGGAGAAUUUGACAUGAAAGACCUAGGAAAGGCUAAAAAGAUUCUAGGCAUGGAAAUAGAAUGAAAUAGGUCAAAUUCCAUCGUAUUCUUGCAUCAGUCUCCAUACAUAUCAAAGGUGUUGAAAUGGUUUAAUAUGAGUGACUGCAAACCUGUCACGUUGCCUCUUGCAAACCAUUUUGUUCUAUCUAAAGAACAAGCUCCCUGCAAUGAACGUGAAGUGGAAUACAUGAGUAAAAUUUCAUACUCAAAUGUGAUUGGUUCCAUAAUGUAUUUGAUGGUUUGCACUAGACCGGACUUAGGAUUCGCUGUUAGUACUCUCAGUAGGUACAUGUCUAAUCCAGGUCCUGAACAUUGGGAAGCAUUAAAGUGGCUUUUAAGAUAUUUGAAGGGUACAAGUGACGUAGGUCUAAAAUUUAGUGCUAAUAAGGAAGACGUGAAAUUAAAGGGUUUUGUAGAUGCUGACUAUGCAAGAGAUAGGGAUGGUAGGAAAUCAACUUCCUCUUACGUAUUCAUCUUAUCAAAUUCGUGUGUUAGUUGAAAAUCACAGUUACAACACAUAGUUGCACUAUCCACUACAGAGUCAGAAUAUAUUGUCACCACUGAAACAAUUAAAGAGGCUCUAUGGUUUAGAAGUCUACUUCAUGAACUAAGUGUCUUGAAUGAGUAUGUGGUUGUGUAUUCUGAUAGUCAGUCAUCCAUACAUUUGUGUAAGAAUCCUAUUUUUCACGAACGCACUAAAUAUAUCGAUGUUAGGCUACACUUCAUUAGGGAUAUAAUAUCACAAGAAGUAGUAAGACUUGAAAAAAUCCACACACAAUAUAAUCCUUCGGAUAUGGGCACAAAAGUGCUGCUACUGGUAAAGUUUAGAAGUUGCAAGGAGCUUCUAAAUAUCGGUAUAGGUAAAUCAUUUCUAAUUUUAUCGAUUUUCUGUUAGAGGUGUCACUAAUGGAAAAUGUUUUCUCUUUGCAGAUCCUUUGACACCAAGGUGGAGAUUGUUAGACAUCAUGUUGUCAAACGACCUCUCGGACGAUGAUGUAAACCAGUUUUAUCAGUCGACAUGAAUGACUGAACGAUAAAUCAACAUCGAAUAAUGGGAUGACCCGACUUAACGUUGUUUUACCUAUUGGAUGGCUAAUAAACCUUUGUGGCUUGUUGGUGUGCUAUUGGGCCAUAACCCUAGUCGAGCCCACUUACCAUAUGUAUAACUUACCUUAUUGUUUGUCAUUGGUUUAUUAUUUAUAUUGGUAACUCUCAUAGCCUUCUAAGGUCCCGUUUUUGUGAAAGAACCCGAGAGAGAGAGAGAGAGAGAGGCCGUGUCUUCUUCUUCUUCGUGCAUUCUACUUCUUGAUCUUGUGUACAUCUUGCUUGUGUCUUUGUGACCCUUACCUGUGUGGUAUUCAUUCUUUGUGAGUGAGCAAACAACAAGCAGAAGGAAGAAAAGCAACCAUAGGUAGAACUCGUGAGGUUGGCGGCGGGUACCUUCGGUUUUGGUGUUGAUUCGGCGUUUUAAAGAUUAACUGAGCCCGAAAAUCAUCUUGAGCAGCUUGAGGAAGAUCCUAACAAUGUUGAAAGUGUUAAAGCAAAAAUAUUUCAAGCUCCAUAGAUAAAAAAUGCUCUACUUGAAUUGGCAAUCGUUGAUGAUCCUAAAACAAAAAGUGAGGCGGGGUGUUUGGCAACAUACGAAAUAGAAAAUUUUGAAUUCUUACUUGGGAUGGUUAUUUGGUAUGAAGUGUUGAAUAAUGUUAAUAGAGUAAGCAAACAUUUGCAAAUAGAAGACAUCCAUAUUGAUAUUACUAUAGACCAUUUAAAAUGGCUCAUUUCAUUUUUCAAAGGUUAUAGAGAAAUUGAGUUUGAAUUCGCUAUGAUUGAUGCUAAAGAGAUC